ensembl:snRNA U6 U6 spliceosomal RNA
AUGCUCAUUUUGGCAGCACAUACACUAAAACUGGAACAAUACAGAGAAGAUCAGCAUGGCCCCGCGAAAAGAUGACAUGCAAAUUCGUGCAGUGUUCCAUAUUUUU